GUCCCAGACUCCUACGGGAGGCAGCAGUGGGGGAUAUUGCACAAUGGGGGAAACCCUGAUGCAGCGACGCCGCGUGUGGGAAGACGGUCCUCUGGAUUGUAAACCACUGUCCCCAGGGACGAAGAUGACGGUACCUGGGGAGGAAGCUCCGGCUAACUACGUGCCAGCAGCCGCGGUAAUACGUAGGGGGCAAGCGUUAUCCGGAUUUACUGGGUGUAAAGGGAGCGUAGACGGCAGUGCAAGUCCGGAGUGAAAGCCCGGGGCUCAACCCUGGGACUGCUCUGGAAACUGUAAAGCUGGAGUGCGGGAGGGGCAGGCGGAAUUCCUAGUGUAGCGGUGAAAUGCGUAGAUAUUAGGAGGAACACCAGUGGCGAAGGCGGCCUGCUGGGCUUUUACUGACGCUGAGGCUCGAAAGUGUGGGGAGCAAACAGGAUUAGAUACCCCAGUAU
rnacentral:rRNA from 1 species